UUUGAACUCAUUCCAACUUACUUUAAAUGAAUUCAAAUAUUUUGAAAAGUUUAAAUUUCACCCCAUCAAAUCGAUUAAGAUGUCGUCAGGCGCAGAGUUGCAUAAGCAACUUUAAUCUGAAGUUUUAAAAUCGUUUUGGAUUUAAUCGCUUUAGUUUUAUUUGAACUCAAUUAAAAUGAAUCUAUUUUAUUUAACUCGUCCAAUCGAUUCGAUCAAGAUGUUUUAGAAUUGGUUUGAACUCAUUUCAACUCAAUUAAAAUGAAUAUAAUUAUUUUUUAUAAAAUUUAAACUUUAUUCAAUCAAUUCGACAAAAUGUAUGACCACGGUGGCAAUGGACGCAGAACUGCAAGAGUAACAUACAUAUUAUGUAAAAAAAAAAAAAAAAAAAAAUUAAAACAAAAUAAAGAGUAGCAAAAAUACGUAUUUUUAUUGCAUCCAGUAAGAACUAGAAGUUACGGAGGAAAUAUCAAUAACUAUUCUUCACUUUCACAUGUUAAGUUUUAUUGUACAGGAAAGUUCCGUUGCUCAACCAUGAUCAUUUACCGCGUUUAUGACAUCUCGCGUGAAUAAAAUCAGAAAAAGAGACAUAUUAAUUGAUUGUAUCCGAUAUCUCAACAAAAGUCAAAUAUAUUUAAUUAUAAAAGGUCGCUUUAAGUGUCUUAAAUUAAAAAAAAAACUCUUCAAAAAAGCAAAAAUUCGAAACACCGAUUUUUUUUUUCUCGUUUUGUUUCGUAAAAAAUCUGACAAAGUCAGAUUUAAUAAUAACCAAAAUUUGACGAUUUUGUAGACAGCAAGUGAAAUCAACAAAACAAAGAUAUUUACAUACAGCACUACCUACUACAUGUAUCUAUCAUCUCUAAAAUUUUCUAAAACACGAUAUACGCUUUUAUGAUAAAUUCCAUCUCAACUUUAAAAAAUGUAGGGAAAACAAAACAAAAAAUACAGAAAAAGAAACCAAACAAAACGGUAAAGUCUUGUUUUAGAAAAGGAAAAAAAAGAAACAGAACGAAAACAAAAAGGUCUACCGUAAGAAACAGAAUACCCUAAUAAACUCUGCAAUCCCUAGAAGGUCUUUCGUUGGACACGGAACACCUUAAUAAUAGACUGAUUUUUUAAAAAGACGAUUGAUUCUUUUUUUUUCACUAUACAUACAUGUAUAAAAUAUCUAUAAAUAUGAUUAAAAGAUCAUUGUCAAUGAAAGGGAACUAUCCCUUCCCCACAUUUCUUUAUUUCUUCUUUUAGACAUUUACUUAGAAAAUUGUAAGAAUAAUGAUGAUUGAAGGACCCAGAAAUUGCAAUAGUAGGCUUCAUCCUUAUGUGCAACAUAUUUUGGACUUUUUAAAAAUAAUUGUACUAUUAAAUUUCUGUGUAAAAAGUGU
rnacentral:sRNA from 1 species